UCCCGGUUAACCCGGGCAGUCUCGCUAGAGUGCUCAACUUAAUGGUAGCAACUAACAAUAAGGGUUGCGCUCGUUGCGGGACUUAACCCAACAUCUCACGACACGAGCUGACGACAACCAUGCACCACCUGUCUUCCUGUUCCCGAAGGAACUUCCCCAGUUACGGGUAAUUCAGGAGAUGUCAAGUCUAGGUAAGGUUCUUCGCGUUGCUUCGAAUUAAACCACAUGCUCCGCUGCUUGUGCGGGUCCCCGUCAAUUCCUUUGAGUUUUAAUCUUGCGACCGUACUCCCCAGGCGGGAUACUUAAUGUGUUUACGGCGGCACGGAAGGAGUUGAUACCUCCCACACCUAGUAUCCAUCGUUUACGGCGUGGACUAC
rnacentral:misc_RNA from 1 species